GUGCUUGAUUCUGUAGCACAUUUGCUAAAAUUAAAAUGAUACAGAGCAGAUUAGCAUGGGUCUUGGGCGACGAUGACAUGCACAUCUGAGAAGUGUGCAAUAUUAAA
ensembl:snRNA U6 U6 spliceosomal RNA